GUUAUAUGGUCAAGUGAAGAAGCGCAUACGGUGGAUGCUUGGCAGUCAGAGGCGAUGAAAGACGUGGUAGCCUGCGAAAAGCUUCGGGGAGUCGGCAAACAGACUGUGAUCCGGAGAUGUCUGAAUGGGGGAACCCAGCCAUCAUAAGAUGGUUAUCUUAUACUGAAUACAUAGGUGUAAGAGGCGAACCAGGGGAACUGAAACAUCUAAGUACCCUGAGGAAAAGAAAUCAACCGAGAUUCCCUUAGUAGUGGCGAGCGAACGGGGACCAGCCCUUAAGUUGUAUUGAGAUUAGCGGAACGCUCUGGAAAGUGCGGCCAUAGUGGGUGAUAGCCCUGUACGCGAAAAUCCCUUUGCAAUGAAAUCGAGUAGGACGGGGCACGAGAAACCUUGUCUGAAUAUGGGGGGACCAUCCUCCAAGGCUAAAUACUACUGACUGACCGAUAGUGAACCAGUACCGUGAGGGAAAGGCGAAAAGAACCGCGGAGAGCGGAGUGAAAUAGAUCCUGAAACCGUAUGCGUACAAGCAGUGGGAGCCCACUUUGUUGGGUGACUGCGUACCUUUUGUAUAAUGGGUCAGCGACUUAUUUUCAGUGGCGAGCUUAACCGAAUAGGGGAGGCGUAGCGAAAGCGAGUCUUAAUAGGGCGUCUAGUCGCUGGGAAUAGACCCGAAACCGGGCGAUCUAUCCAUGGGCAGGUUGAAGGUUGGGUAACACUAACUGGAGGACCGAACCGACUACCGUUGAAAAGUUAGCGGAUGACCUGUGGAUCGGAGUGAAAGGCUAAUCAAGCUCGGAGAUAGCUGGUUCUCCUCGAAAGCUAUUUAGGUAGCGCCUCAUGUAUCACUGUAGGGGGUAGAGCACUGUUUCGGCUAGGGGGUCAUCCCGACUUACCAAACCGAUGCAAACUCCGAAUACCUACAAGUGCCGAGCAUGGGAGACACACGGCGGGUGCUAACGUCCGUCGUGAAAAGGGAAACAACCCAGACCGUCAGCUAAGGUCCCAAAGUCAUGGUUAAGUGGGAAACGAUGUGGGAAGGCUUAGACAGCUAGGAGGUUGGCUUAGAAGCAGCCACCCUUUAAAGAAAGCGUAAUAGCUCACUAGUCGAGUCGGCCUGCGCGGAAGAUGUAACGGGGCUCAAACCAUGCACCGAAGCUACGGGUAUCAUCUUAUGAUGAUGCGGUAGAGGAGCGUUCUGUAAGCCUGUGAAGGUGAGUUGAGAAGCUUGCUGGAGGUAUCAGAAGUGCGAAUGCUGACAUGAGUAACGACAAUGGGUGUGAAAAACACCCACGCCGAAAGACCAAGGUUUCCUGCGCAACGUUAAUCGACGCAGGGUUAGUCGGUCCCUAAGGCGAGGCUGAAAAGCGUAGUCGAUGGAAAACAGGUUAAUAUUCCUGUACUUCUGGUUAUUGCGAUGGAGGGACGGAGAAGGCUAGGCCAGCCUGGCGUUGGUAGUCCAGGUUUAAGGUGGUAGGCUGAGAUCUUAGGUAAAUCCGGGAUCUUAAGGCCGAGAGCUGAUGACGAGUGUUCUUUUAGAACAUGAAGUGGUUGAUGCCAUGCUUCCAAGAAAAGCUUCUAAGCUUCAGGUAACCAGGAACCGUACCCCAAACCGACACAGGUGGUUGGGUAGAGAAUACCAAGGCGCUUGAGAGAACUCGGGUGAAGGAACUAGGCAAAAUGGCACCGUAACUUCGGGAGAAGGUGCGCCGGUGAGGGUGAAGCAUUUACUGCGUAAGCCCACGCCGGUCGAAGAUACCAGGCCGCUGCGACUGUUUAUUAAAAACACAGCACUCUGCAAACACGAAAGUGGACGUAUAGGGUGUGACGCCUGCCCGGUGCCGGAAGGUUAAUUGAUGGGGUUAGCGCAAGCGAAGCUCUUGAUCGAAGCCCCGGUAAACGGCGGCCGUAACUAUAACGGUCCUAAGGUAGCGAAAUUCCUUGUCGGGUAAGUUCCGACCUGCACGAAUGGCGUAACGAUGGCGGCGCUGUCUCCACCCGAGACUCAGUGAAAUUGAAAUCGCUGUGAAGAUGCAGUGUAUCCGCGGCUAGACGGAAAGACCCCGUGAACCUUUACUAUAGCUUUGCACUGGACUUUGAAUUUGCUUGUGUAGGAUAGGUGGGAGGCUUUGAAGCGUGGACGCCAGUCUGCGUGGAGCCAACCUUGAAAUACCACCCUGGCAACUUUGAGGUUCUAACUCAGGUCCGUUAUCCGGAUCGAGGACAGUGUAUGGUGGGUAGUUUGACUGGGGCGGUCUCCUCCUAAAGAGUAACGGAGGAGUACGAAGGUGCGCUCAGACCGGUCGGAAAUCGGUCGUAGAGUAUAAAGGCAAAAGCGCGCUUGACUGCGAGACAGACACGUCGAGCAGGUACGAAAGUAGGUCUUAGUGAUCCGGUGGUUCUGUAUGGAAGGGCCAUCGCUCAACGGAUAAAAGGUACUCCGGGGAUAACAGGCUGAUACCGCCCAAGAGUUCAUAUCGACGGCGGUGUUUGGCACCUCGAUGUCGGCUCAUCACAUCCUGGGGCUGAAGCCGGUCCCAAGGGUAUGGCUGUUCGCCAUUUAAAGUGGUACGCGAGCUGGGUUUAGAACGUCGUGAGACAGUUCGGUCCCUAUCUGCCGUGGACGUUUGAGAUUUGAGAGGGGCUGCUCCUAGUACGAGAGGACCGGAGUGGACGAACCUCUGGUGUUCCGGUUGUCACGCCAGUGGCAUUGCCGGGUAGCUAUGUUCGGAAAAGAUAACCGCUGAAAGCAUCUAAGCGGGAAACUUGCCUCAAGAUGAGAUCUCACUGGAACCUUGAGUUCCCUGAAGGGCCGUCGAAGACUACGACGUUGAUAGGUUGGGUGUGUAAGCGCUGUGAGGCGUUGAGCUAACCAAUACUAAUUGCCCGUGAGGCUUGACCAUAUAACACCCAAGCAAUU
rnacentral:rRNA from 1 species